rnacentral:rRNA from 1 species
GAUGAACGCUGGCGGCGUGCUUAACACAUGCAAGUCGAACGGGAAACCUUUUAAUGAAGCUUCGGCAGAUUUAGCUGGUUUCUAGUGGCGGACGGGUGAGUAACGCGUUGGUAACCUGCCUUAUACAGGGGGAUAACAGUCAGAAAUGACUGCUAAUACCGCAUAAGCGCACAGGACCGCAUGGUCCGGUGUUAAAAACUCCGGUGGUAUAAGAUGGACCCGCGUUGGAUUAGCUUGUUGUUGGGGUAACGGCUCACCAAGGCGACGAUCCAUAGCCGGCAUGAGAGGGUGAACGGACACAUUGGGACUGAGAAACGGCCCAGAAUCCUACGGGAGGCAGCAGUGGGGAAUAUUGCACAAUGGGGGAAACCAUGAUGCAGCGACGCCGCGUGAAGGAAGAAGUAUCUCGGUAUGUAAACUUCUAUCAGCAGGGAAGAUAGUGACGGUACCUGACUAAGAAGCCACGGCUAACUACGUG